AUUGAACGCUGGCGGCAUGCUUUACACAUGCAAGUCGAACGGUAACAGGCCGCUAGGUGCUGACGAGUGGCGGACGGGCGAGUAAUGCAUCGGAACGUGCCCGGUCGUGGGGGGUAACUACUCGAAAGAGUAGCUAAUACCGCAUACGAACUAUGGAUGAAAGCGGGGGACCGUAAGGCCUCGCGCGAUUGGAGCGGCCGAUGUCAGAGCAGGUAGAUGGUGGGGUAAGGGCUCACUAAGCCAACGAGCUAUAGCUGGUCUGAGAGGAGAACCGGCCACACUGCGACUGAGAGACGGCCCAGACUGCGACUGGAGGCCGGAGCGGGGAACUUUGGACAAUGGGAGCAAGCAUGAUCCAGCAAUGCGGCGUGGACUAAGAAGGCAUUCGGGCUGGAAACUGGAUUGGUUAGGGAUGAAAAGGCUCUUGUUAAUAACAGGAGGUAAUGACGGUAUCGUAAGAAUAAGCACCGGCUAACUACGUG
rnacentral:rRNA from 1 species